GAUGAACGCUGGCGGCGUGCCUAAUACAUGCAAGUCGAGCGAACAGAUAAGGAGCUUGCUCCUUUGACGUUAGCGGCGGACGGGUGAGUAACACGUGGGUAACCUACCUAUAAGACUGGAAUAACUCCGGGAAACCGGGGCUAAUGCCGGAUAACAUUUAGAACCGCAUGGUUCUAAAGUGAAAGAUGGUUUUGCUAUCACUUAUAGAUGGACCCGCGCCGUAUUAGCUAGUUGGUAAGGUAACGGCUUACCAAGGCAACGAUACGUAGCCGACCUGAGAGGGUGAUCGGCCACACUGGAACUGAGACACGGGCCAGACUCCUACGGGAGGCGGCAGUAGGGAAUCUUCCGCAAUGGGCGAAAGCCUGACGGAGCAACGCCGCGUGAGUGAUGAAGGUCUUCGGAUCGUAAAACUCUGUUAUUAGGGAAGAACAAAUGUGUAAGUAACUGUGCACGUCUUGACGGUACCUAAUCAGAAAGCCACGGCUAACUACGUG
rnacentral:rRNA from 1 species